CUUCAGUUGUCGUGCCGGGACAUCCCCGACCCCGGGCGCGGCAGGACAGGAGCAACGAGGGAACAGCCCGGCACCAGGUCAGAACUGGAACGCACCGGGUCAGAACUGGAACGCCUGGAACAGGAGCUGGAGGGAAACACAUGCAAAGACCCGGCCAGCAGCUCCGGCCGCCGGGGCGUCUCCGAUCCCGGGCGCGGCCAGACAGGACGAACAAGGGAACAGCUCGGCACCGGGUCAGAACUGGAACGCCUGGAACAGAGGCUGAACAGAACACUUGCAAAACCUGGCAGCUCCGGCCACCGGGGCGCCCCCGGCCCCGGGCGCUGCCGGACAGGAGUAGCGGGGGGGGAAACAGCUCGGCACGGGCUCAGAACCGGAACGCCUGGAACAGAGGCUGGAGAGAACUGGAGAGAACAUUUGCGCAACAUAGACCGCAGGUGGGCUUAUUUAUAUCAGCUGGAGCCAAGCGAAGGUGCGAAAGGAGCCCGUGAGUGUCUUCGUUUGAAAGACGCGGGUCUGCUAAAGGAGGCAGGAGCCUCCUUUGCAAUAGAAAAUGUAAACCCCCUGCCUCCCAGCUGUUGUCAUUUUGAAAUUAAUGCGCUCUCACGCGAAGAUCUGACAGAAACAGACCUUUCUAGGUGUGUCAAUGAAGCGAACAAGCAGCACCAGGGGCCCGUGGCCAGCGCAGAGCGCCACGAGCCCGGUGCCGCCUCUGGCCGCAGGCGCUGUCCCCAGGCUGCAGUUCCGGGCACGGCCGGCAGGGGCGGCUGCGGUGACGGCCCCGCGGUGCAGGGGGCGCUGUGCCGCGGGCUCGGGGAGCGCGGAAAUGGCGGCUCGGCCCUGAGGGGAAGGGAUGGCCAGAGGCUUUGCUUCACCGACCUUGGGACAGCCGAUCCCCGUGCGCCUGCAGGACUCACGGACACGGCAGAGCCGGGCCGCCAGGAGGGAUCGGCAGGCGGGGGCUGCACGGCUACAGAGCAGCCAAAACUCGGAGCAGUGCCCGACCAGCGGCGGGGCCGGGGCAGCAGCCGCCCGGUUCCCAGCAGGGCAGGGAGAGGCCAGCUCUGGAUCCCGGGCACCCAGCACGGCACUGCGAUAGCUCCCUCUUUUAGGGAGCUAGCUGAUCCCAGGGUCAGACCCUGA
rnacentral:lncRNA from 1 species